rnacentral:lncRNA from 1 species
AGACACACUCCAGGAGAAAGUGCCUGUGAGGGGAUCCACAGGCCACCCCCAUUGUUGUCUGUGUGCUGCCUGGUGCCUGCUUCCCCUCCCGCAUCCCAAUUACCUGCUCUCUGGAACAUCUCCAUGCCAGGUACUGAACAGGGUUCCCUUGAAGCACUUGUUCCAAAAGGUUCAGUACUGAGGCGGUGGGAGGUCGUAAGUAACAGAUAACCACCAGGACAGACUUGAUAUCUGUGUGCAGGUCUUAGGCCUGUGUAUGUGCCUCUUGCUCUCUUGUUUUGGGAAAGGGAAGGCAGCACGAAACACAGUCCAUAACAAUAGGUCCCUGAAUUUCUGUUAUCAGUGGAAGGUUCUUAAUCAUGUCUAUCAGUCCAACGACAGGCACCUCAGCCUCUCCCUUUCAGAAAGGGCACAGCUGAAGUUAGCACACACAUUGUGAAAUAUGGACUAAUCAGGUCUUAAUACUCACAACAGGCAAAUAUUCUUCUAAACUCUAACCAAAUCGUGUAGGCGCCUGUGUAGUGCUAUUCUCACCCUCAGUCGACACUCUCCUUUGCAAGGCCAGGCUGCCCUCUGGACCAGCCCUGAUAUAAAUAGGCUUGUAGUCAGAUUAUGAGAUUAUCUGCCCAUCUCAUCUGUCCCUGUAUCUUAGCAACCUGUGUACUAUUUCAACUUUAGUGUUGCUUCACUCCAACGCAAACCCCAGUUUGUGAGAUAGUCAUUCUUCAGAGGAAAUGAUUCUGAGCAGAUGCCCUUUGGCAGGCAUUUCCUCUUCCCUGUACUUGGGAACAGGAGCUCUUUGCUGUACCUCCCCAUGUCUUCACAGAACUGUGAGAUUCGGGAACCAGGAGGCAUUCUGUCUGAGUCCCUGCACAGCAGGGUUGCCUCUCAGGCUCUCAUUUACGCCAGGGCUCAGAUUCCCACUCACUCUCUGUGGAAGAGUGUGUUUCCUGUUUGAAUUCACUUGUAAUCUAUCUUCCAGAUGAUGUCAUUCCUUAUCACCUUAUUUUUCUUCACUGUUUUUGUUUUGUCAUUUAUUUUCAUUAUGCUGGAAAUUUCUGGGGGAUUCCUAGUUUUUCCAUUUCAAACUUGGGAAUUAUAAGUUUUACUGAGUGUAUUUCAAUGAAUCCAUGUGUGUACAAAACUAAAUAUCCACUGAGACACAUAUCCACAUAGUCCUUCUCUUUCCUGAUCCCAAAAAGGACAGUGUUAGCAAUUGGUGGGAAUUCUGCAGACAGAUUUUUUUCCUCCAACUGCACACAUAGAUAUGUAUUUAGGAAAGUAGAUGCGAUUUCAAGGGAGAAUGGUGUGUGUGUGAGGGGGGCAGUCUCAAAAGAGAGAUGUCUUGGGGCAAAGAAGGAGUUCCACUUUAAGUGGAAAUGCGGGCUACUUUGGAGGGUGGCCCACCCAUUGGUGUGGGUUUCAGUGUGUACCUGCUGUGUUUCCUUGAAGCUUAUUUACAGGGGGCUGGGCAAGAGGUGCAGUCGGGGUGCAGCUACUCAGUCAUGUGCUGGAUUCUCCGUGGCGCACACAUCUUCCUGAUUUUACCAGGCCAUGAGGCAAGGCGAGUGGCUCAUGAUCUCCACCUGUGCUCUCUGCACCUCCAUGGCUCAUGAGAUUCAGUCUCUCUCUCUCUAUCCCAGAUCCCUCUUCAUCUCCAUCCCUAGAAUUUGAUCCCUUGGGCUUAAGGACUGGUGGGAGUAAAGAUCCGCCUUCUAUGGCUGCUUUAAGUGGGCUUGGGGACACAACCCUGCUCCUCAGAAAAACAGUUGAC